rnacentral:rRNA from 1 species
UACGUAGGGUGCAAGCGUUGUCCGGAAUUAUUGGGCGUAAAGAGCUUGUAGGCGGUUUGUCGCGUUGUUCGUGAAAACCUGAGGCUUAACCUUGGGCGUGCGGGCGAUACGGGCAGACUGGAGUACUGCAGGGGAGACUGGAAUUCCUGGUGUAGCGGUGGAAUGCGCAGAUAUCAGGAGGAACACCGGUGGCGAAGGCGGGUCUCUGGGCAGUAACUGACGCUGAGGAGCGAAAGCGUGGGGAGCGAACAGG